rnacentral:rRNA from 1 species
CGUGGGUGACGUGCCUAUUAGUGGGGAAUAACUGCCCGAAAGGGUGGCUAAUUCCGCAUACGUCCACCAGUUCAUUGUGGUGGAGAAAGCUUCGCAAGAGGCGCUGAUGAGCGGCCCGCGUUCGAUUAGCUAGUUGGUGGGGUAACGGCCUACCAAGGCGACGAUCGAUAGCUGGUCUCAGAGGAUGAUCAGCCAGACUGGGACUGAGACACGGCCCAG